UACGAAGGGUGCAAGCGUUACUCGGAAUUACUGGGCGUAAAGGGUGCGUAGGUGGUUGUUUAAGUCUGCUGUGAAAGCCCCGGGCUCAACCUGGGAAUGGCAGUGGAUACUGGACAGCUAGAGUGCGGUAGAGGGUAGUGGAAUUCCCAGUGUAGCAGUGAAAUGCGUAGAGAUCGGGAGGAACACCAGUGGCGAAGGCGGCUACCUGGACCAGCACUGACACUGAAGCACGAAAGCGUGGGGAGCAAACAGG
rnacentral:rRNA from 1 species